GGGCAGACUUGGAGCGUCUGUUGUCUCACGCAUGCUCAGAUCACAGUUGUGCAUUAGUGUUAGGGGCGCUACGGGCCAGCGCCCAAGCUUUCUGCUUCCUCACGCAUGCUCAUAUCACAAUUCUGCAUCAAAAAGUUAGCUUAUCCUAGCCACAUAAUAAAAAUCCCUAAUGGGCGCCAGGGACCAGUGCCCCGGCAUCCCAAAUUUAAAUGAUGUAAGCACGUUCAUAACCAGAUUGGCCACAAAUGGACGCAUAGUUACGAUGUGCGUCUGACGUAGCUAGCUGCUCUACUCUGAGCCGGUCCGCCCUCACUCUGCACUUGGCUGCUAAUGAUAGAGGACGUGGAAAUGGCGACCGCAAAUCCCCUAUCGAGUGAUUUAACGGAGAACACUGCACUGUCCAUCAAGUAGGUCCCGUUUGAGAGGAGAACUCUGCAGGAUAAAUUAAAGCUGGAAGAGCUCGGUCCAGAUCGACCAGACGCCGCCGCUCAGCGAGUGACCACAGAGAACAGCAGACAAUAUACGCGGACAUUUUCAAGAGCAGGGUAUGGGCGCAAAGCAUGGCUAACUGGAAGUCCAAAGAGUAAGGCUCUUUUAUGUUUCCCGUGUAAAUUAAUGGUGACAAAAAGAAAUUUUAAAGCUGGCAAAAUAUAAUUUCAGUGACUGAAACAGUCAGUCAACAAAAUCUGUUUGUAGAAAAGUAGAGUAUAUAAAGAUUAAAACCUAAUAAAAACCAUAAAUUUAUUAUAGUGAGACAUAAAAGCCAGACUAAAAAGAAAGCUAACCGACAAUGUUCAUGCCACAAUGUUAGAAAUCAAUCAUUUUUAAGGCAGGAUGAAAACGUCCUGGAAAAGUCCUGGAAAAUGAUUUCUAUAAAAGAGCGGGAACCAAAGACUGUAUAUACUAUGGACAACUUGGUUUCGCCUACCGCCUCUAUACGGAUUUAACGCCAAAUAGCUCUCGGUAUUUCCGGGAAUUGUCUUCAUUUCCUGAAACCAGCGCUGCCCAGUAGCGAGGCACGCAUUCGGCCGUGCAGUCGCAGAGAGUCGCUGUGAUGACGCUCGGCUCAAACAGCGUAUCCUCCGGGUGAACUACGCAAUCCCUGGCUGUCCGCCCAUAGGCUGUAUUAGGUGUCAAUCAUAGAAAACAUGACCCCCUAAUAACUUUUAAAAACGGAGCUUCACAGAAAAAAAGAGGACUUGAGCACAAACCAGUCUGACAGUAACUACAUGUCAACAUCACAAGCAGGGGGGAGAAAAAUUUAUUUUCUGUGUAAUAAAUUUCUAAAGUUUGUCCACAGCCCCAUACGCUUUGCUGGCGGAGGCAGGAUUUAUGACCUUUACUGCAGCCCAUCAACAAAGGAUGCUGUUCUCGGAGUGGCUUCACCCAGCGAGGAGGCAGACUCUCUCCAUUCUAUAUACAGUCU